GAUGAACGCUGGCGGCGUGCCUAAUACAUGCAAGUCGAGCGAACGGACGAGAAGCUUGCUUCUCUGAUGUUAGCGGCGGACGGGUGAGUAACACGUGGAUAACCUACCUAUAAGACUGGGAUAACUUCGGGAAACCGGAGCUAAUACCGGAUAAUAUUUUGAACCGCAUGGUUCAAAAGUGAAAGACGGUCUUGCUGUCACUUAUAGAUGGAUCCGCGCUGCAUUAGCUAGUUGGUAAGGUAACGGCUUACCAAGGCAACGAUGCAUAGCCGACCUGAGAGGGUUAUCCGGCAACAUGGAACUGAGACAAGGUUCAGACUCCUACGGGAGGCAGCAGUAGGGAAUCUUCCGCAAUGGGCGAAAGCCUGACGGAGCAACGCCGCGUGAGUGAUGAAGGUCUUCGGAUCGUAAAACUCUGUUAUUAGGGAAGAACAUAUGUGUAAGUAACUGUGCACAUCUUGACGGUACCUAAUCAGAAAGCCACGGCUAACUACGUG
rnacentral:rRNA from 1 species